GACGAACGCUGGCGGCGUGCCUAACACAUGCAAGUCGAGCGGGGUCCAUCCAGUGGCAACACUGGGGAAGACCUAGCGGCGAACGGGUGAGUAACACGUGAGAAACCUGCCCUGAAGUCUGGGAUAACCCGAGGAAACUCGAGCUAAUACCGGAUGCCCCCACCGAGUCGCAUGGCUUGGUGAGGAAAGAUUCAUCGCUUCAGGAGGGUCUCGCGGCCUAUCAGCUAGUUGGCGGGGUAACGGCCCACCAAGGCAUCGACGGGUAGCUGGUCUGAGAGGACGAUCAGCCACACUGGGACUGAGACACGGCCCAGACUCCUACGGGAGGCAGCAGUGGGGAAUAUUGCGCAAUGGGCGAAAGCCUGACGCAGCAACGCCGCGUGCGGGAUGACGGCCUC
rnacentral:rRNA from 1 species